rnacentral:rRNA from 1 species
UGGGGAAUAUUGCACAAUGGGCGAAAGCCUGAUGCAGCAACGCCGCGUGAGCGAUGAAGGCCUUCGGGUCGUAAAGCUCUGUCCUCAAGGAAGAUAAUGACGGUGCUUGAGGAGGAAGCCCCGGCUAACUACGUGCCAGCAGCCGCGGUAAUACGUAGGGGGCUAGCGUUAUCCGGAAUUACUGGGCGUAAAGGUUGCGUAGGUGGUUUCUUAAGUCAGAGGUGAAAGGCUACGGCUCAACCGUAGUAAGCCUUUGAAACUGGGAAACUUGAGUGCAGGAGAGGAGAGUGGAAUUCCUAGUGUAGCGGUGAAAUGCGUAGAUAUUAGGAGGAACACCAGUUGCGAAGGCGGCUCUCUGGACUGACCCUGACGCUGAGGUGCGAAAGCGUGGGUAGCAAACA